UGUUGGGUCUUAAUUGACUUAGUAACGCAGCUAACGCGUGAAGUAGACCGCCUGGCGAGUACGGUCGCAAGAUUAAAACUCAAAGGAAUUGACGGGGACCCGCACAAGCGGUGGAUGAUGUGGAUUAAUUCGAUGCAACGCGAAAAACCUUACCUACCCUUGACAUGGCAGGAAUCCCGGAGAGAUUUGGGAGUGCUCGAAAGAGAACCUGCACACAGGUGCUGCAUGGCUGUCGUCAGCUCGUGUCGUGAGAUGUUGGGUUAAGUCCCGCAACGAGCGCAACCCUUGUCAUUAGUUGCUACGCAAGAGCACUCUAAUGAGACUGCCGGUGACAAACCGGA
rnacentral:rRNA from 1 species